rnacentral:misc_RNA from 1 species
AACUUUUAGCAAUGUAUCUCUUGUCUCUCGCAUCGAUGAAGAACGCAGCGAAAUGCGAUAAGUAAUGUGAAUUGCAGAUUUCAGUGAAUCAUCGAAUCUUUGAACGCACCUUGCGCUCGUUGGUAUUCCUUAGAGCAUGCCUGUUUGAGUGUCAUUAAAAUCUCAACUCUUCCAAUGGUUGUCACAAACUGUUGCUUUGAAGAGCUUGGAUAUGAGGGUUGUUGCCGGCUUUUUCCAAGUCGGCUCCCUUGAAAUACAUUAGUGCGCAGCUCUGCUAGUUUGCUUCAGGUGUGAUAAUCUAUCUACUCCUUGGCGGACAAGCAUGAAUAAGUGCUUCUAACAGUCUCUUCAAUGAGACAACUUACUUUGGUACUUGACCUCAAAUCAGGUAAGACUACCCGCUGAACUUAAGCAUAUCAAUAAGCGGAGGCU